UCCCUCUCUAAACAUGGCAUAUGGCGACGGGUUGGUGUUCGGGUUGGGUUUCUUAAAACUGGAUCGGAAGUCGGAACGUUGCCUGUUGUCCUGGCCGGUGAAGGAAGGACGUGAACGUGAUUGCUACAACGAGCAGAGGAUCAUCGAUAUGCCAACCGAAACAAGGCUAGAUAUCUUGCUUCUGUUCCCAUGACUAUUUAGGUAUUCUCUCAUCCCACUGUUUGUGUAUAUCGAUCACUUUGUGUCGCUGUAUCAUUGUGUGUGUGCUUGUGUGUUUCAUGUUUAUCGUAUUGUUGUCAAUCGGUGUAAUAUGGUUCAAACUUGUAUCGUGAGGGUUUGGAUAUAUGAAUGUUUCAAAUCAAAGGGAAGUUAAGAUUUAAGAAUGAUAUUAUUAGGUUUUAGUAAAUUUUGGUGGUGGACUUCUUGGAAAUCCAUAUAUUCAUAGGAAUAGCGAUCGUCGUAUGAUUUUUGAUUCUAGGAUUUCUUCUACAAAAUCAUGUGCUUCGGAAUGUUUAUAAUUAUUUUCUGUUGUUUUAGUGAUAACUGAUAAGUGUAAAGGAAGAUCUGGGAACUGCAGUUCAUUGAUGAGAAAUGGUAAUUGCAAAGCGUGAAUGCCACAUAGGGUUACUCUCAAUUUGUAAUUGUGUUAUAUACUAAUAGUGUUCCGAAUUGGCCAAUUGUGUAAUGUUGUGUUCCAGAUUAAGUUUGAUCCUGUUUCUGAACAAUUUUGAGCAUCUCUGCAACUCUGGCAGGCAAUCAUUUAGAUGGACCGAACUAAACGGCAAGGCCAAGUUAGACAAUCAAAAUUCUUCUUUAUAAUUAUGGUUAUAUUUGUAAUAAAAGAUUAUUUUUUAGGGAUUAUAGCCAUAAUUCCACUAUACAUGAGGACGAUUUAUGUAAUUUACUCUUCUAUCUUCUAUUGCGAAGCUGGAAGUGGAGUGCUUAAUUAAUAAUCAUUUAACAAAA